UACGUAGGGUGCAAGCGUUAAUCGGAAUUACUGGGCGUAAAGCGUGCGCAGGCGGCUAUGCAAGACAGAUGUGAAAUCCCCGGGCUCAACCUGGGAACUGCAUUUGUGACUGCAUGGCUAGAGUACGGUAGAGGGGGAUGGAAUUCCGCGUGUAGCAGUGAAAUGCGUAGAUAUGCGGAGGAACACCGAUGGCGAAGGCAAUCCCCUGGACCUGUACUGACGCUCAUGCACCGAAAGCGUGGGGAGCAAACAGG
rnacentral:rRNA from 1 species